CGGGGCGUAGCGCAGCCUGGUAGCGCACCUGAAUGGGGUUCAGGUGGUCGGAAGUUCAAAUCUUCUCGCCCCGACCA
rnacentral:tRNA from 1 species